UACGUAGGGGGCAAGCGUUGUCCGGAUUUAUUGGGCGUAAAGAGCGUGUAGGCGGCCAUACAGGUCCGUUGUGAAAACUCGAGGCUCAACCUCGAGACGUCGAUGGAAACCGUAUGGCUAGAGUCCGGAAGAGGAGAGUGGAAUUCCUGGUGUAGCGGUGAAAUGCGCAGAUAUCAGGAGGAACACCGGUGGCGAAGGCGGGUCUCUGGGCCGUAACUGACGCUGAGGAGCGAAAGCAUGGGGAGCGAACAGG
rnacentral:rRNA from 1 species